GACGAACGCUGGCGGCGUGCCUAAUGCAUGCAAGUCGCACGCGGCACCUUCGGGUGCUGAGUGGCGAACGGCUGAGGAACACGGGGGGACCUGUCCGGGAGUUGGGAUAACACCGGGGAAGACGUGCUAAACCCGCAUACGCUACGAGGAGGGAAGCCGAACGGCGCCCCCGGGGUGGCCUGCGGCCCAUCGGGUUGUUGGGGGGGGAACGGCCUACCCAGGCAAGGGCGGGUCGCGGGUCUGUGGGGCCGGCCAGGCAGACUGGGACUGGGACCCGGCCCAGACUCCUACGGGAGGCGGCAGCAAGGAAUUUUCGGCAAUGGGCGCAAGCCUGACCGAGCAACGCCGCGUGCAGGAAGACGGCCUUCGGGUUGUAAACUGCUUUUGCUAGGGAUGAUAACAGACAGUACCUGGCGAAUCAGCCCCGGCUAACUCUGUG
rnacentral:rRNA from 1 species